AACGUCAGCUUUCCUGCUCCUCUGAUGCUGCUUGACCUGCUGUGUACAUCCAGCUGCACACCGUGUUAUCUCGGAUUCUCCAGCAUCUGCCGUUCCGGUUAUCUCAGCGACUCUGCACCGCACUCGUGGAUGAUCACGUGGUUUUCACUGAUCCCGCCCUCCCUUCAUUCUGAUUGGGCGACAUCCGUCCGGUCAUGCACGGCACACCUGUGCUCCUAUUGGUCGCGCACUGACAUCAAUCAGCCAGACUUCACUGUGAGCUGGAGCAGUGCUUUGUGUUAUUGUUCGAAGCAAAUGAACGUCGUCGCAAUGUUUCAUUUUGAGACGAAUGAGACUGAAAACUGGAUCUGUCUUUUUACCUUCACAGAUGCUGCCAGACCUGCUGAGCUUUUCCAGCAACUUUGCUUUUGUUCCUGAUUGACAACAUCCCAGUUCUUUUGUUAUUUUUUAAUAAGUCGCGAUUGAAAAGGCUUCCUGCAGCUCAAAGCUAAAGGUUUGACGAUACUUCACCUUUCUCAUUCCUCAGACUCCAACCCACUUUGAUUCUGAAAGAUUUGACUGUUAUUUCCGGUCAGUCAGCUUGCCGAAGCAGUCAGAUUUCCGUCAUACUACUCUGAAUAAAAAUG